rnacentral:rRNA from 1 species
AUUGAACGCUGGCGGCAGGCUUAACACAUGCAAGUCGAGCGGGGAAAGGUAGCUUGCUACCUGACCUAGCGGCGGACGGGUGAGUAAUGCUUAGGAAUCUGCCUAUUAGUGGGGGACAACAUCUCGAAAGGGAUGCUAAUACCGCAUACGUCCUACGGGAGAAAGCAGGGGACCUUCGGGCCUUGCGCUAAUAGAUGAGCCUAAGUCGGAUUAGCUAGUUGGUGGGGUAAAGGCCUACCAAGGCGACGAUCUGUAGCGGGUCUGAGAGGAUGAUCCGCCACACUGGGACUGAGACACGGCCCAGACUCCUACGGGAGGCAGCAGUGGGGAAUAUUGGACAAUGGGGGGAACCCUGAUCCAGCCAUGCCGCGUGUGUGAAGAAGGCCUUUUGGUUGUAAAGCACGUUAAGCGAGGAGGAGGCUACCGAGAUUAAUACUCUUGGAUAGUGGACGUUACUCGCAGAAUAAGCACCGGCCAACUCUGUG